AAACCCUGAGUGUUAUUUUAUUUAUUUUUUUUCAAACCUUGCUUUAUGUUUGAAGUUAAACCAAUUCAUUGGAUUAGUCUUGAUCAAGCUAAUUCUGAAGUGAGUCGUCUUGAGAUCUAAGAGUAACCAUCAUAAAUUUCAAGUUUGAUCUAUGAGUUACUCAUCCAUCUAAACAGCUCUUGGUUGGAAUCAUUUGUUGAGUUAGCUUUAUUUGUGAUAGUUUGCAAAGAUCCUAGAAGGACCUCUAGCAUUGCAAAUCCAACAGUUGUUGGUACUUAUCACUUGGUAUCAGAGCAUUUGGUCGACGUUCUUUGGUUGGCUCUAGAGGAAAUGAAGAACAAAACAGGUGAAAAAAAAAAAACAGCAUUACCAGGCGUUGAAUGACGAUGAAGCUUUAUGAUUGCAUUUAGCUGACGAUCGGCAGCCAGAAUCUUAGAUCAGACUUCAGCAUAAGUCCGCCAUCACUGAAGGCUGUGUUCGAGGAGGCGAACCAUGCGCUUUCUGUAGUGCUCCUGCUCGAGUUACUUCUCAAAAUGCUGAAGUUUCUUUCCCCAUUCCCAGAAAACUGAGGAUUUUAUCACCAAAUAUUUUUGCAUAAAUAGCUCUUUUUUUUUUU